GUUGACACCGUCGCACUGCCACAUCUUCGGCUUGCACAGAGUGUUCUUACAAGCGAUCUGAGACUUUUCACAAACUGGACAAGAAGCACAUCCUCCAGUCACGCUCCAUGACAACAACAUGGCACCUGGAAACUGGCUAGGGAUCUGGACUUACGAUUGGAGGGCUCGAAGGCCUGGAACUCGGCCAGGAAGCCCUGGUCCACGUAAUACUUGUCUGAGUUGAACGUAACCCUCAUGGUGUUGGAAUUGCUGGUCAUCACGGUGUUCCUGAGCUUUCCUCCGCAUAGCCUGAAACCCAAAAGGACAAGCGGAUUCUGGACACUUGCAAGUCUUCAAACAGAACAGCUUGCAAACCGUGAAAUGGAAAAUACAUUCUUACUUUUUAAAAAAAAUAACUCUUUCCAAGAAGAGUUAUUUUGAAUUACAACAAAGAUGAAUUGGUAAAGCAACAAGUUUUCUAGAAAUUUGGAAUGGUUGGUUGGUUCUGGAUCACCAUGGUGCCGUCAGUGUAUACGCAAGAAGACCACUUCAGCCAAAGCUAUGCUAUUCACUUUGAACCAGUCAAUACUAAACCCAACAGUCCACACAGGGCUACAGGAGAGAUCUAGCACCAACUAGAGUCUCACUUAGCCAUAACGGGUAGCCUGUGGGCGCCAACAGGUGUGUCUAUGGGUAACCGUGGGCACCAUGAACCCACAUUAUCCCUGACAAGCCCAAUUGGGUCCGACUAACGUGUACACCUGGCCAUAGUCAACCAAUGAUGUAGCUGAGGCCAAGGGAUUGAACCUGUGGUUGCAGGGCCAAGAUGGCCCCCGUAGCGAGCACCUGUGCUGACCGAGCAGCUCCGGAGGGCCUAAACAAGACGGACUGCCGCACUGCAGGGGGUGGCUCUCGUCUGUCUUUACCUAAGGCCUGUGGGACCUGGGUGAAAACGGCCUGGAAGCCUGGGAAGUUCUUGUCCUUGUUGGUGACCAGCGUGAUCAGCAUGACGUUCCUCGAGGAGAUGAAGGACAGGGGCUCGUUGGGAGGGUAGGAGCCGCACCUCCUGUCGCCACAGAGGAAAUGGACCAAUCGGCCCAAGGGAAACCUUCGUUCAGGAAGCAGUUUCUUUGACAGAAUAUAGCAUCAGCAAGGUCUUCACAAGAACAUAUACGGUGCAAAUACAAUCAACAGCAGAAGCUCCGCUGCACCGGCGCUUAAACCUCAAUGAGAGCACACAGACAAACCGAGGACACCGCUCAUCAAGGCACGGUCAACGGUGAACACCCGGAUCAAUGCGACCAGGCCCCCGCGACUGAUUCACCUCUGGCCAGGUCAAUCUGGCGACCACAGGUAAAACGCAAAACUGCACUCACUCCGCCAUGGCUUUCAUCUCUAUGGCGACCAGGGAGUCGUACACCUUGACGAAGUCCUUCUUGCAGUCGUCCUCCAGGGUGAACUUGAGGAAGUCCAGCUUGAUCCUGAAGCCGGGGUCGGCUCGCAGCUCCCACUCGGUGAAGCUUUCGGGCGGGUACGGCGAGGUCGGGAAGCCGGGGGACUGAAGGGUCUGGUUCUUGUCACUCUGGGCGUGGUAGGUGUAUUUCUUCUGGGCUGCAACAAGAGGAAGACAGGCAUGACUGUACCUCAGGGAGGGCAACGAUGUCAAAGAUGUACAAAGUGGUGUGAACCCCUUGGGUUGUAUAAUGGUUACGGAACUGAAUUUGUAACGCAAGGGCUGUAGGUUUUAAUCCUAGGUGAGACACAGCUGUUUUGCACUCAAACUGAGCCGAUUCAGUAACUGUCUAGCUGUACAAAUGCAUGGUAUAUUUUUUAGAAAGUUGUGCAAGUCACUGCAUAACAUCUUGCUAAAUACAUUUUUUUUUAAAAAAGGAAAAUGGGUCUCACUUUUAAAAUUCUUCUGGUUCAAGCGGGGAUCCACAGCUACAAGAAAGAAUAAGAGGGGUAUAAUUAAUCAGCGCUGAUUAAUAUUUAUCACCAGGUUGUCUUGUGCAGGCACAGAUUACCCUUUCGACAUAGUUAUUUAGUGCCAGAUGGAGCGCAACCAAAUAAUAAAACAUUUAAAAAAAUGAUAAAUAGACAUGAGAACUGUUUUAUAAUACUAAACAAUCACAAAUCUUAGCGCAGUGCACAAGACUUAUUACCGCAUAUUUGAUCAUUUUCUGUCUUCGAAUGCUGGCACUGUAUUGCAUGCAGGGACAGCAAGUCCAGGGGUCAGAAAAGUCCUUCCACUCAUUAACUCAGCCAGCUGAUUUUAUUAAUUAGUCCAGGCCGAAGAAUCGUGCUAAUUAGCAAAUCCAGGGGACUGGAACAACAUACUGGGGAGAACUUUUACUUUCUGAACCUGGAUUUUCCACCUCUGAUUGCAUCUAUAGAAAAACAUCCAAAAAAUAGACCCUCUGUGCUAAUUUCCCUUCCUUUUUUAGUUGCCUACUUUUUCCACUUCUUCUGUCUUGUAGGCACAUGAUAAAAAAGUAUGAUGAAAAAGUUUUUUUUCAUAUAAAGACUUUUGGAUAUUUUA